rnacentral:rRNA from 1 species
UACGUAGGGGGCAAGCGUUGUCCGGAAUUAUUGGGCGUAAAGAGCGUGUAGGCGGUCCGGUAAGUCAGCUGUGAAAGUCAAGGGCUCAACCCUUGAAAGCCGGUUGAUACUGUCGGGCUAGAGUCCGGAAGAGGCGAGUGGAAUUCCCGGUGUAGCGGUGAAAUGCGCAGAUAUCGGGAGGAACACCAAUGGCGAAGGCAGCUCGCUGGGACGGUACUGACGCUGAGACGCGAAAGCGUGGGGAGCAA